rnacentral:rRNA from 1 species
UAAAAAUUUAUUUAUUUUAGGUAGUAACAGAUUUCUUGAAACCUAAAGAAUUUGGCGGUAUUUUAAAUAAUUAGAGGAACCUGUUAUAUAAAUGAUAAUCCACAACAUAUCUUACCUUAAUUAAGUUUGUAUACCGUUGUUUUUAGAUUAUGUUUAUAAAUUAUGAUCAAAAUUAAUUAAUUUUUAUAAAUCAAAUCAAGGUGCAGCAUAUUUAGGUUUUAAUGGGUUACAAUAUAUUUAUAUAUACGAAUAAAUAAUGAAAAUGUUUUGGAAGGUGGAUUUAAAAGUAAUUUAAAAUUAAAAUGUUUAAAUGAAUAAAAAUUUAAAAUAUGC